CUAACACUCCCUGAGUGUUGGGUCCCUAACACCGUGGGUGUUGCAAAUUCCGACAUAAAUUAACACUUUAUUAGAGCUGAUGCUGUAACACUUUCUCAGCGUUAGGGAAUAACAUAUGUAGUGUUAGCGUAAAACCUUAUUUGCAUAUUUCCCAGGGUGCCUUUCAAGUGAAUGUUAGAGUAGCCCGUCCAUGACUGUGUUUGUAAGUGACAGAGACGGGGGCUGCGUUUCAGACACACCCUCGCCUUAUGCCCUUGGGGGAAACCCCGCAACCAUCUUUGGCGUUGGUCCAAAUGAUUAACCAAGCAAGGGAACGUGGCAACGUGAGACCCUCAGCCCCUCGUUUUUUGAUUGGGUUUGCGAGUGUACAGUUAUGUUCACUCCGGUCAGCUAAAACUUUGAACCAACAUUAAUAUGGGGAAGUCAACGUACAAGUCUUUUGUAAAACUCAGGUUAUCUGGAGUCGUUCGACAGUGCUCUGCUGAGAAAUACCCUGAAGCGGGGGCAUUUUGGGUACACAAGCACGAGGGAGCGGACACACCUUUCGUUUAUGGAGCACAACAAGAUUGUGGGACAGAAACCAUCCAGGGAUACUGAACGGAGACGGGCAGUAUCAGCAAAUCUUCUGAAAGAGGACCAAACAGUUGGUGGUUAAGAAGCCCUACACCACUUUUGACAGCCUUAUCCAGCUGGCCGUUCACCGCAGACAGGACAAGCCCAUCGCCAUAAGCACGAGUCUCAGCUUCCCCAGCCCAUCAUUGCCAGUGUAACGAAGCCGGAUAAAGGACUACGGCUGCGUUUACGCAGGCAGCCCAAUUCAGACCCGAUUGGGCUUUUGACCAAUCAGAUCAGUUCUGAAAAAGAGCUGAUGUGAUUAAGACCAAUUAGUGGAAAAAAGAUCAGAAUUGGGUUGUCUGUGUAAAACACAGCUAAUUAUUAGAAUUGGGAUGUGCUACAUUAUGGUUGGCGGGGAAACCUACAGGACGGUAGCUCUCCUGGAACAGGGUUAGAGAGUCCUUAUGUAGAACCAGCAUAAAAUAAAUGUGGAUCUUUUCUGUCAAUCUUCUAAAUGUUUCUGCCCUCAUGGAUUCACAAUAUGUAUUUAUCGAAGCUGUACAUGGCUCUGUAGCAUAAAAAAUGCUUAGACAUUCA